rnacentral:lncRNA from 1 species
AAGUGACGUCCGCGCCGAGACAGGGAUUGGGGAAGAAUAGUUUUAUUUAGUGCAUUGCAAAAGGAUGGCCUGCUUCCUCUUUAAAAUACAUCCUUAAUAAUGACUUGAAGCAUGUGGACAUAGCAAGCCUAGAUGCCUUCCCAAUUGCCUCCCUGCCCACCCCAUGAAUUUGCAGUGAGAAUGCAGAAAGGAAGGACUCUGGAGGAGGACAGAAGAAAAGUAGGCUGAGAUCUGGUGCUUAGAACCCUAGCUGUCUGGCUUUGAACUUGAGCUGUACCAGAGGAUGACUGACAUAUGCCAUGCUUCUGCUCAAGUGCUGGAAUUACAGAGAAUGCAGUCAGAAAUUAUGCUGCUUGUGAAGAGAUACAUUGAGCCUUUUGGUCCAGUGAAGUUAUUAAGAAUGUGAUUUAAAAUUGUGAUAAAAUCUGGAUUGCUGGGAAGCCAGAAUUUUGUCGUUGGUUAAGAUAAACUUCUAAGGUCUGCCCCUCAGAUUGUCCUACUCAAGAUUUGCCAGCACACCAGGAUGAAUCAAUUGUUUCCAUGGAUAGACACCUUUGGGAGACAGUUGGAAAGCCUUGACUCAAACCCAGGAUCAUGGACAUACUAAACAAUUGCUCUAGCACUGAACUGUAUCUCUGCCUCUGGGGAAGGUAUCUUUAAAAAAAGGUUGUAGAGUUUGCCAGAUCCUAUGAGUGACCUCAAAAGAGAAGAGGAGGGUUCUCCCCUCAGUGAUAAAGAAUUCUGAGGAGUUAAUGCUUCCAUGAAUAUCUCAGAAGGAGACAUGGACAAAGGAACAGGUAUCUCACUCCAAUAGGUUGGACCACAGUGAUCUUUGAUUAAAAGUUUCAUCAUUUCAAUCUGGGGUCUGCUGUUAUGAUGUGUUUCAGCAAUUUCUCUUCCUCACACUGCUCAGAACUGGAUGUGUGAAAAGCUGCAUUGUGAAUAAAAACUCAGUGUGUGUUGGGAGUAGAGUCCUUGUUGCUAUCUGGAUGUAACAACAGCAGUGACACACAAAGCCAAUGCAGAGGAAGGUGUUGCUCAUCAAUGGGUCCAGUACCUGAGGAACAAGAGAACCAACAGGAAGUGGACAGCAGUGUGACCUUUUGAGAGAAGACUUGAGCAAAAAGUUUUUUUGUUUUAGGGGUUGCCUUCCCAGAAAACCACCAUUUAUCCUAAUGGACCAUGGAGGAAUGUUAGACGGAGAAACUUCAAAUCUUGGUCAUCUCUGGAGUUACUCAACAACACCCACCCCCAACUCGACACUGCAGGCUUCUCAGUCCCAAAAGUACUGUGGCUACUACUGGCUAGAGCUGGCUGCUUAAGCUCACCUUGGGCUCUGAGCCACUUUUUUGCUGCUUCACUUUUGAUUUGGGGUUUCCAUUUCUUUUGGAGCCAGAGAAGACCUCCACAUCCAGGGCCCUUCCAACAAGGCUGCGGUGUGCACCUCCUACGAUGGGAAUCUCUACCCAAGAUCCUUGGUCUCAGAGAGAGCUAUACAUUGUGUACCAAGUUGUAAGAAAUAG